GCAUUAGCUAGUUGGUAAGGUAACGGCUUACCAAGGCAAUGAUGCAUAGCCGAGUUGAGAGACUGAUCGCCCACAUUGGGACUGAGACACGGCCCAAACUCCUACGGGAGGCAGCAGUAGGGAAUCUUCCACAAUGGACGCAAGUCUGAUGGAGCAACGCCGCGUGAGUGAAGAAGGGUUUCGGCUCGUAAAGCUCUGUUGGUAGUGAAGAAAGAUAGAGGUAGUAACUGGCCUUUAUUUGACGGUAAUUACCUAGAAAGUCACGGCUAACUACGUGCCAGCAGCCGCGGUAAUACGUAGGUGGCAAGCGUUGUCCGGAUUUAUUGGGCGUAAAGCGAGUGCAGGCGGUUCAAUAAGUCUGAUGUGAAAGCCUUCGGCUCAACCGGAGAAUUGCAUCAGAAACUGUUGAACUUGAGUGCAGAAGAGGAGAGUGGAACUCCAUGUGUAGCGGUGGAAUGCGUAGAUAUAUGGAAGAACACCAGUGGCGAAGGCGGCUCUCUGGUCUGCAACUGACGCUGAGGCUCGAAAGCAUGGGUAGCGAACAGGAUUAGAUACCCUGGUAGUCCAUGCC
rnacentral:rRNA from 1 species